CUACCAGACUCCUACGGGAGGCAGCAGUGGGGAAUAUUGCACAAUGGGGGAAACCCUGAUGCAGCGACGCCGCGUGAGUGAAGAAGUAUUUCGGUAUGUAAAGCUCUAUCAGCAGGGAAGAAAAUGACGGUACCUGACUAAGAAGCCCCGGCUAACUACGUGCCAGCAGCCGCGGUAAUACGUAGGGGGCAAGCGUUAUCCGGAUUUACUGGGUGUAAAGGGAGCGUAGACGGCAUGGCAAGUCAGAUGUGAAAGCCCGGGGCUCAACCCCGGGACUGCAUUUGAAACUGUCAGGCUGGAGUGCAGGAGAGGUAAGUGGAAUUCCUAGUGUAGCGGUGAAAUGCGUAGAUAUCAGGAGGAACACCGGUGGCGAAGGCGGCCUGCUGGACUGCGACUGACGUUGAGGCCCGAAAGCGUGGGGAGCAAACAGGAUUAGAUACCCCGGUAA
rnacentral:rRNA from 1 species